GGCCCCUUAGCUCAGUUGGUUAGAGCAGUCGACUCAUAAUCGAUUGGUCGCCCGUUCAAGUCGGGCAGGGGCCACCA
rnacentral:tRNA from 36 species